rnacentral:lncRNA from 1 species
GUGACGCAACCGGGCGGUGCGGGCAGCUGGCUGCGCGUGUGCAGAGCUCGCACAAAAGGCCUUCUUAGGUUGUGCAGGCGCCCGCUGGCCAGAGUCGCAGAGGGUCCUCGUUUGCAAUCCAGCGACCCCCGUGGGUGCUGUUUUUGCGAGGACUGUUUGUCCCCAUAACUCUGGGAGGGCCACGGGGACCUUGGCGAGCUGCGGGCUGCCAUCCAGAGCCGUGAGUGGUUCGCUGAAUCUCCGCACCGCCGCUGAAGCCUGCAGGCUGCGCCGACUCUGCUGUGUGAGAAGUCGGAGGAGGCGGAGCGGAAGCGGCCGCCGCAAUUUCCUUUCCUCCACGUUGGCUCUCGGCCGGGCCCCCAACGUCCGGGGUGCCGACAGCUGCUGCUCAGGACAGCUUUGGGGGUGCGGUCGCCGGACGAGAAGGUGUUGGGUGUUGCAGUCGCCGGGUGGGUGCAUCCGCCCGGUUUUUGCUCCGUGCGGGGGCGGUGCGGGCCCGGGGGCACCUCGGAGGCGGAGGACAGCUUAAUUGGCCCUCUCAGGUCUGGUCCUCUUGCCUGCCUUACGUUUUGUUUCGACGCCGGACCGCGUAAGAAACCAUGAUGUUGGACACCGAAGGUGGAAAGGGGAUUCGUGGUGAAGGUCUGGGGCUUGCCCUGGUCUUGCUCGGCAGAUGAAGUCCAGAGGUUUUUUUCCGACUGCAAAAUUUAAAAUGGGGCAGAAGGUAUAACAGCACUGGCAGAAGAGCUGGCUUUGAGAGGAUGAGGCGUGAUGCUUAUGGUGGAGGGUAUGGAGGCUUGGAUGAUUACAAUGGCUCUAAUGAUGGCUAUGGAUUUGGGUUAGAUUUGGAAGAGACCUCAAUUACUGUUUUUCAGGAAUGUCUGAUCACAGAUACAGGGAUAGUGGCUCUACUUUCCAGAGCACAACAGGACACUGUACACAUGUGUGGAUUACGUUACAGAGCUACUGACAAUGAGACAUGCAUGGAUUACCUUACAGAGCUCCUGAGAAUGACAUUUAUAAUAACACAGAUAUGUAGAACUCUUCUUGAAUUCUACAGCAGGAGCAAGUGGUGGUGCUUUUGGUAGCCAAAUGAUUGGAGACACGGGUUUGCCAAACCCGUCCAGUUACGGUGGCCCAGCCAGCCAGCAGCUGAGUGGUGAUUAUGGAGGCGGAUGUGUGUGGUGGCCAGAGCAGCAUGAGUGGAUACGGUAACCAAGGAGCAAUGAACAGCAGCUACUACAGUAGUGGAAGCCGUGCAUCUAUGGACGUGAAUGGAAUGGGAGGGAUAUCUAGCAUGUCCAGUAUGUGUGGUGGAUGGGGAAUGUAAUUGAUCGAUCCUGAUCACUGACUCUUGGUCAACUUUUUUUUUUUAAAAGAAAAAAAAACUUCAGUUUAACAGUUUCUGCAAUACAAGCUUGUGAUUUACGCUUACUCUGUAAGUGGAAAUCAGGAUUGUUAUGAGGACUUGAGGCCCAGUAUUUUUGAAUAUAGUACUAUCUAGGAUGUAACAGUGAAGCUGAGUAAACGGUAACUGUUAAACUUAAGUUCCAGCUUUUCUCAAGUUAGUUAUAGGAUAUACUUAAGCAGUAAGCGUAUUUAGGUAAAAGCAGUUGGAUUAUGUUAAAUGUUGCCCUUUGUCACGUUACAUUGAACACUGGAUGCAUGUUGAAAGACAUGCUUUUAUUUUUUUGUAAAACUCCAUAUAGGAGCUGUGUCUACAAUUAAAAAUGAAACAUUUUGGCAUGUUUAUUAAUUUUAGUUUCAUUUAGUAACCUGUGAGGCACAUAAGUUUAAGCCUUUUUUUUUUUUUUUAAGUUAAUGGGAAAAAUUUGAGAUGCAAUACCAAUACUUUAGGAUUUUGGUCUUGGUGAUUUUGGUCUUGGUGUUUGUAUGAAAUUCUGAGGCCUUGAUGUAAAUCUUUCAUUGUAGUGUGAUUUCCUUUUAGGUAUAUUGCGCUAAGUGAAACUUGUCAAAUAAAUCCUUUUAAAAACUGC